AUGAAUAUUAUCACCAUCAACUUGUUUUGUCAACUCAUUUCCUCUGGAAAUGGUUACACUUAUCCAGUGUCCCCUAACAUAUCGUCUGCUGUUCUUCAAGACCCGGACUGUGAGAAAGCCUGGUACUGGAAGGCUCCAGGUAUCGAAUCGGCGUUGGAGUAUUUGUCAGAUGGACAUGGACUUCAUGUAAACCAAAGUAAACACCCGCUGGUUGUUGAUGUGAGCGAGAAAAACAUCACAAUCACUGAAUGCGUCGAGCUUCGCCAUAACAUCACGUGUCAUGGAUCGAAUCAAAAGUUUCGACACCUUUACCAAGUCACUGACCACAACGCUACCAACUUCACCAUCACUGCCAACACCACCAACAUCAUCACCACC